rnacentral:sRNA from 1 species
CUUUUUUGUGUUUUUUUA